rnacentral:tRNA from 1 species
AUUUAUAUAGUUUAAAAAAAAACAUUACAUUUUCAAUGUAAAAAAAAAAUAAAAAUUUUUAUAAAUA